ACACACCGCCCGUCACACCAUGGGAGCCGGGAAUGCCCGAAGUCAGCGGCCCAACCGAAAGGAGGGAGCUGCCGAAGGCAGGCCUGGUGACUGGGGUGAAGUCGUAACAAGGUAAC
rnacentral:rRNA from 1 species